GACGAACGCUGGCGGCGUGCUUAACACAUGCAAGUCGAACGGAAAGGCCCUGCUUUUGUGGGGUGCUCGAGUGGCGAACGGGUGAGUAACACGUGAGUAACCUGCCCUUGACUUUGGGAUAACUUCAGGAAACUGGGGCUAAUACCGGAUAGGAGCUCCUGCUGCAUGGUGGGGGUUGGAAAGUUUCGGCGGUUGGGGAUGGACUCGCGGCUUAUCAGCUUGUUGGUGGGGUAGUGGCUUACCAAGGCUUUGACGGGUAGCCGGCCUGGGAGGGUGAUCGGCCACAUUGGGACUGAGAUACAGCCCAGACUCCUACGGGAGGCAGCAGUGGGGAAUAUUGCACAAUGGGCGGAAGCCUGAUGCAGCAACGCCGCGUGCGGGAUGACGGCCUUCGGGUUGUAAACCGCUUUCGCCUGUGACGAAGCGUGAGUGACGGUAAUGGGUAAAGAAGCACCAGCUAACUACGUG
rnacentral:rRNA from 1 species